CCGACGGUGAGAGGCGAAAGCUGGGGGAGCAAACCGGAUUAGAUACCCGGGUAGUCCCAGCUGUAAACGAUGCGCGUUAGGUGUGUCAGUGACCACGUGCCACUGAUGUGCCGAAGGGAAACCGUGAAACGCGCCGCCUGGGGAGUACGGUCGCAAGGCUGAAACAUAAAGGAAUUGGCGGGGGAGCACCACAACGGGUGGAGCCUGCGGUUUAAUCGGACUCAACGCCGGAAAUCUCACCGGAUAA
rnacentral:rRNA from 1 species